rnacentral:rRNA from 1 species
UACGAAGGGGGCUAGCGUUGUUCGGAAUUACUGGGCGUAAAGCGCACGUAGGCGGAUCGAUCAGUCAGGGGUGAAAUCCCAGGGCUCAACCCUGGAACUGCCUUUGAUACUGGCUAUCUUGAGUUCGGGAGAGGUGAGUGGAACUCCGAGUGUAGAGGUGAAAUUCGUAGAUAUUCGGAAGAACACCAGUGGCGAAGGCGACUCACUGGCCCGAUACUGACGCUGAGGCGCGAAAGCGUGGGGAGCAAACAGG